GUGACUCUGCACACAAAGGCUGCUCAUUGUAGCCACGUCUGAAUGCCUGUGAAUAGGACGGAACAUAUGCAGCCUGUCACCGCAGGUGCCCACAUCUGUUCUUCCCCGGGCAGAUGCUCACAGAAAAGGGGAAAUGGGGAGGCCAGGGGAGGACAUCGCACUCGAAAGCCUCCACGGUCGCCUCGUCCUGGGAUCCUCGGGAGUGGCCUUGGAAGGCCGAGCCGCACGUUCGGAGGCGGAAAGUUCGGAGGGGCUUCGAGCAGCUGCCGCGGUAAUCUGAUCCCGGGACAAAGGCGCGCCCGCCGGUGCUGCGGCCACAGGUAAACACGCGCUUUGUCAUGGAGAUGAGCGCAGGACAGCCCGGAGCAGAUGACCCGCGGUUCCGAGGGGAAGGCGGCGGGCGGGCGACCCGUCAUCUGCGAGGAGGCCGCCAGCUGAGCCACGCGACUCCCCCUUUCUCAUGCAAAUGAGCACAUGCCUUUGCAACUUUCUGCGGACCUGCCACGUCCACCUCAGAUCCACACACCCGAGGUGGGGUGUCCCGCGCGCACUGUGCUCAGAAUCCCUUCCCCCCCUGCCCCCAAACAAAAACCCAAACAACCAGGUGAGCUGGAGCAUUCUUGCUUCGUCUCCACACAGCCGCCUGUCCCAUUAAAGAAGAAAAAAAUCUAUGACACACGUCAUAACCCUUCGGCACAGAACAAGUUCCGACCCUCGGCCCACGCACGGGUCCCAGGACGCGUCCGCAGGGAAGGCUGGUGGGGGACACUCCAGGCAUCUGUGGGACCACAGGCCCUGUGGAUGCGCUGCGCAGAGGGCAGAGGCGCUCUGGGUGUCGCUCACCUGUGCCUGCUGACCAGUAAGAGGGAAGCGCUUACCUACUAAACAUCAUCCUGGAGCCCUUCGGGUCCAGGUUAGAAAUAAAGGUCCAGAUAUAACCAC
rnacentral:lncRNA from 1 species